GCAGUAGCCGCGGGAAUACGUAGGGUGCGAGCGUUAAUCGGAAUUACUGGGCGUAAAGCGUGCGCAGGCGGUUUUGUAAGACAGGCGUGAAAUCCCCGGGCUCAACCUGGGAAUGGCGCUUGUGACUGCAAAGCUAGAGUGCGGCAGAGGGGGAUGGAAUUCCGCGUGUAGCAGUGAAAUGCGUAGAUAUGUGGAGGAAUACCGAUGGCGAAGGCAGCCCCCUGGGAUAACACUGACGCUCAUGCACGAAAGCGUGGGGAGCAAACAGGAUUAGAUACCCCAGUAGUCCCUGUCUCUUAUAA
rnacentral:rRNA from 1 species